UACGGGGGGAGCAAGCGUUGUUCGGAUUUACUGGGCGUAAAGGGCGCGUAGGCGGUCGUGACAAGUCACUUGUGAAAUCUCCGGGCUUAACUCGGAACGGUCAAGUGAUACUGUCGGACUAGAGUACAGAAGGGGCAACUGGAAUUCUCGGUGUAGCGGUGAAAUGCGUAGAGAUCCGGAGGAACACCAGAGGCGAAGGCGGCCUACUGGGCUGCACCUGACGCUGAGCCGCGAAAGCUAGGGGAGCGAACGGG
rnacentral:rRNA from 1 species